rnacentral:lncRNA from 1 species
GGAAUUAUUAUAAAAUGAUGACUACACAUACAUUAUCCCUGCAUGCAUCUCUCUCAUUUUCUGGGUCUUGGUUACAUUAAUUGCUUGACAUGUAUCUAUCUACAUCCAUAUUGAUGACAUCCAAUUAAUUUAUAUAAAUUGAUUUGAGGAAUAGACUUAGACUAUAAAAAUAAUAAAAGCAAAUAUAUAUAUAUAUAUACAAAGCUAGCUGUAACCUUCUAUAUGAUGGCAAUGCUGUUCAAUAGCUAUCAAAAUGUCAUCAUACAGAACAAAAUUAAGAGACACAUAGACAGAACAAGUGCAUAUGGUCACUAUUAACAUCUUAAGAAAGAUGGAAAGAAAAUAAAAAGAAUAGCUAGUUUAGUGAAAGGAUGCAAGACAGCAUAUGGGCCACAUAGCAAACUGAGCCCAUUAAGGGAGUUGUGAAAUGGAGAUAGAUAGCAACUUAAGAGGCCUUAGCCCAUUCCAGUGGGACACCUACCACUCAACCGACAUUGAAAGUCACUCAUUUGAAGCUGAAUUUUACAUUGUGCUCUAUAUAGAUGGGAAUGAAACGGAAUCCAGCUCUUCAGUCAUAUAUUUCUGUCGACUCAUUAGGAUCAGACGAUUCAGAUUUUAAAAUUGUAUUUUAGAUGUAGUAAAAACAAUAAAAUCUUUUAGAAUUUAAAUCGUUCAAUCUUAAUGAGAUGACUAUAAAUGUACCAACUACAUAAGUUCAUGCAAUCCCAAUCCAAAAUGGGACCUAGCUAAUAGGUUGUUAAGAGGUAACCACUAACUAGCUCCUGAAGAAGUGGACAAUGUAUUGUAGUGUGGUAAUGGGUCAAAAUUCUAUAUUAUGAGCCCACAUUUCUUAGACAUGCUUUUGGCAAUGGUUAAGACCAGCUUUCAGAAGGCCCACUUUUUGGACCUUAGUGGGUUCCUACCACUGCUUAGUGAGCAUGUUGAAUAGUAAUGGCAAAAUGGGUAUGUAGGUGUUGUAUAGGUUAGAUAUAGAACCAACAUAGAUAGGGACAUGUCCUUUUGGCAAAUGGAGCUCAACUCAACAGGGUAGAUGAAUCCAUCAACAUCUUUGGUCCAUCAAGUCACGCCUACUCUGUAGCAGGUAACAUGUUUUUGAGACAUAACUCAUUGGCAAGUGAAUGUGUGUGCCAAUGUCAUGCCAUCAGUCAUGUGGUAAUCGCUAUUCAGUUAGGUAGCUCAACUGAUAUGACCUAAUGGUUGAAAGAAUUUGAAGAGUUAAACGAUCACAGUUCAAAUUCCGGUGAAUGAAAAAAUACUAACGUAAUAACUAAUAUACUAAGGUCUAUCCUCAGCUGAUAAAAAUAAAAGUUCACACGUCAAUGAUAAAUUUAUGGAACAUGUAAAGGCUGUAUUAUAUAGCUUAUGGUACAGUGAUGCAUAGAUAACAACAAAAGGCCUAGAGUUAGUUAACUGACAAUAUUUUUCUGGCCUAAUGGAGCACAAUUUAAGAGCCCAAUGUUGGAAACCCUUUAUGUAACUGUUCAAAGUUCAAUGUAUUUUGAGACAUGUGGCUUUUGAUUCCAAUGUACAUGGACCAGGCCAACUGUGCAUAACCUAAAUCUGCACCUGAAAAUUAACUUCCGUGACAGAUAUCAAGUGUUGCUACUUUGGACCGCAACUAAGGAUCAGUCACCACCAAAUUAAUACCAAUGCACUGCAUCAGAAUCUAAGAAAGUAACAAAACAAGUUAUUUAUGCAUAGCAAUAGUUUAGAACUUAUCCAUAGAAACAUUUUUCAACACAGAAUAUAAUGUGCUGCCAAUUGCCAUGUUUAUUUAAGGAAGAAAAAAAGGUAGAAUAUCAGCUUUUUUUUAGUUUAACUUUCAAACCAAGUUAAUGGUCCUACAAAAUGAAUGUUCUAAAUUUCAUAUUGCAACUCAUAGAUUCAUGUUGGUUUCUUGUGAGACAUAAGAAACUAUUUGCUGUUCUAGAGUCUAAACUCAGAACUUUGAGCCUUGUGCAUGUAGAAAAUAAAUCUUGGUCUUCUCUUUCCCAUCCAAAUUAAACAGCAUAAAAUUUCAAAAUUUCCUACAUUUCCCCUCAAAUCUAUAACAUCCAAUUAUCUUUCACAUUAAUGGCCUAGAAAACAACUGAAAUUAUGACAUUCUUGGGAGUGCACUGAGAUAUUUCACGUUGUUGUUCUUAUGACCUGAAAACAACUGCAAAUUUGUUCAAUUUACAAAUUUACAGUUUGCCCAAAAAUUUGGCAUGAAAGCCUACAAUCAAAAUUUUGAUCCAGAUGAAAUCACUGCUUGGAAAUCACAUAUUUAUUUAUCAAUAUAUAUUUGGCACUUCAAAUAUAAUUUUAUACUAAAGAAAUGAAGCAGCAUGAUUCUAAUUAAGAGGUCAAUUUCAUCCAUGCAUACUUGUUAAAAAAAUAAUGAAGGGAAAUCUCUGUAUUGCAUUGCAUCACUCAAAGGUUCAAUAACUGAAGAAGUCAACUAAUUAGAAUCCUGCAAGUUUCUUAGCAAUGUAUAAGAAAGGUUUCUAGAAAUUAAGAGUGAGAGAUUGAGCUGAGAUAUAUAUACAUUAAUUGGCAAAUAAGAAAUGCAGAGGUUGGUCCUUAUAAAGAUUUUUGUAGACUUGAAAAUCACGCACACAUUCUUUCCAGUUCUAUUAUUGCUUCAAUCUCAAGCUAUUAACUCCCAAGACUUAAGAUUGACGCACUUCCCCUUUUAAAACUCAAUUAAAAUUUAACAAUCUCAAAAUCAAAUCAAAUAUAUAAUUUUGUUGUAUCGUAAAAUUUUAAAAUGUAAGUCCAUAAGAAACCAAAUUUAU